rnacentral:rRNA from 1 species
UUGGUUAAGUUAGAAAGGGCGCACGGUGGAUGCCUUGGCACUAGGAGCCGAAGAAGGACGGGACUAACACCGAUAUGCUUUGGGGAGCUGUACGUAAGCGUUGAUCCAGAGAUUUCCGAAUGGGGGAACCCACUAUCUUUAGUCGGAUAGUAUCCUUACGUGAAUACAUAGCGUGAGGAAGGCAGACCCAGGGAACUGAAACAUCUAAGUACCUGGAGGAAGAGAAAGAAAAAUCGAUUUCCUGAGUAGCGGCGAGCGAAACGGAAAGAGCCCAAACCAAGAAGCUUGCUUCUUGGGGUUGUAGGACACUCUAUACGGAGUUACAAAAGAAAGUUAUAAAUGAAGCGGUCUGGAAAGGCCCGCCAAAGACGGUAACAGCCCGGUAGUUGAAAUAGCUUUCCCUCCAGAGUGGAUCCUGAGUACGGCGGAACACGUGAAAUUCCGUCGGAAUCCGGGAGGACCAUCUCCCAAGGCUAAAUACUCCCUAGUGACCGAUAGUGAACCAGUACCGUGAGGGAAAGGUGAAAAGCACCCCGGAAGGGGAGUGAAACAGUUCCUGAAACCGUGUGCCUACAAGUAGUUAGAGCCCGUUAAUGGGUGAUAGCGUGCCUUUUGUAGAAUGAACCGGCGAGUUACGAUUUGUUGCAAGGUUAAGCGGAAAAAGCGGAGCCGUAGCGAAAGCGAGUCUGAAUAGGGCGCAUAAGUAACAGGUCGUAGACCCGAAACCAGGUGAUCUACCCAUGUCCAGGAUGAAGGUAAGGUAAUACUUACUGGAGGUCCGAACCCACGCACGUUGAAAAGUGCGGGGAUGAGGUGUGGGUAGCGGAGAAAUUCCAAUCGAACUUGGAGAUAGCUGGUUCUCUCCGAAAUAGCUUUAGGGCUAGCCUCGAGGUAAAGAGUCAUGGAGGUAGAGCACUGUUUGGACUAGGGGCCCUUCUCGGGUUACCGAAUUCAGAUAAACUCCGAAUGCCAUGUACUUAUACUCGGGAGUCAGACUGCGAGUGAUAAGAUCCGUAGUCGAAAGGGAAACAGCCCAGACCACCAGUUAAGGUCCCCAAAUAUAUGUUAAGUGGAAAAGGAUGUGGGGUUGCUUAGACAACCAGGAUGUUGGCUUAGAAGCAGCCACCAUUGAAAGAGUGCGUAAUAGCUCACUGGUCGAGUGACCCCGCGCCGAAAAUGUACCGGGGCUAAACAUAUUACCGAAACUGUGGAUGAACCUCUUUAGAGGUUCGUGGUAGGAGAGCGUUCUAAGGGCGGUGAAGUCAGACCGGAAGGACUGGUGGAGCGCUUAGAAGUGAGAAUGCCGGUAUGAGUAGCGAAAGAAGGGUGAGAAUCCCUUCCACCGAAUAUCUAAGGUUUCCUGAGGAAGGCUCGUCCGCUCAGGGUUAGUCGGGACCUAAGCCGAGGCCGAUAGGCGUAGGCGAUGGACAACAGGUAGAGAUUCCUGUACCAGUGCUAAUUGUUUAACCGAUGGGGUGACACAGAAGGAUAGGGAAUCGCACGAAUGGAAAUGUGCGUCCAAGCAGUGAGUGUGAGAAGUAGGCAAAUCCGCUUCUCGCGAAGCAUGAGCUGUGAUGGGGAAGGAAAUUAAGUACGGAAGUUCCUGAUUUCACGCUGUCAAGAAAAGCCUCUAGGAAGAGUAGUACUGCCCGUACCGCAAACCGACACAGGUAGAUGAGGAGAGAAUCCUAAGGUGAGCGAGAGAACUCUCGUUAAGGAACUCGGCAAAAUGACCCCGUAACUUCGGGAGAAGGGGUGCUCUAUUAGGGUGCAAGCCCGAGAGAGCCGCAGUGAAUAGGCCCAGGCGACUGUUUAGCAAAAACACAGGUCUCUGCAAAACCGUAAGGUGACGUAUAGGGGCUGACGCCUGCCCGGUGCUGGAAGGUUAAGAGGAGUGCUUAGCUUCGGCGAAGGUACGAAUUGAAGCCCCAGUAAACGGCGGCCGUAACUAUAACGGUCCUAAGGUAGCGAAAUUCCUUGUCGGGUAAGUUCCGACCCGCACGAAAGGCGCAACGAUCUGGGCACUGUCUCAACGAGAGACUCGGUGAAAUUAUAGUACCUGUGAAGAUGCAGGUUACCCGCGACAGGACGGAAAG